rnacentral:rRNA from 1 species
ACUCAAAUGAAUUGACGGGGACUUGCACAAGCGGUGGAUCAUGCGGCUCAAUUCGAUGAUAAACGAAGAACCUCACCAGGGUUUGAAACCCAGACGCAAUCCUUAGGAAACUUUGGACCUCGCAAGACGGCUGGGCAGGUGAUGCAUGGUCGUCGUCAGUUCGUGGCUUGAGUUGUUCCCUUCAGUGGGGUAACGAACGCAACCCCCGUUGCCUGUUAUACAUGUCAGGCGAGACUGCUCCCUCACGGGAGAGGAAGGUGGGGAUGACGCCAGAUCAGCAUGUCCCUCUGAUAUCCUGGGCUGCACGCAUGAUACAAUGCCGACUACAACGGGACGCAAUGGGGUAACCCGGAGCAAAUCCUUAUAAAGGUCGGCCCAGUUCGGAUUGAGGUCUGCAACUCGACCUCAUGAAGCCGGAAUCGCUAGUAAUCGCGGGUCAGCCAUACCGCGGUGAAUACGUUCUCAAGUCUUGUACACACCGCCCGU